GGCCUCAUGGUGUAGUGGUCGCACAACUCGCUCAAAUUUUCCUCGCGCGAGACGCAAGUUCGAUCCUUGCUGAGACCC